GACGAACGCUGGCGGCGUGCUUAACACAUGCAAGUCGAACGGAAAGGCCCUGCUUUUGUGGGGUGCUCGAGUGGCGAACGGGUGAGUAACACGUGAGUAACCUGCCCUUGACUUUGGGAUAACUUCAGGAAACUGGGUCUAAUACCGGAUAGGAGCUCCUGCUGCAUGGUGGGGGUUGGAAAGUUUCGGCGGUUGGGGAUGGACUCGCGGCUUAUCAGCUUGUUGGUGGGGUAGUGGCUUACCAAGGCUUUGACGGGUAGCCGGCCUGAGAGGGUGACCGGCCACAUUGGGACUGAGAUACGGCCCAGACUCCUACGGGAGGCAGCAGUGGGGAAUAGUGCACAAUGGGCGGAAGCCUGAUGCAGCAAAGCCGCGUGCGGGAUGACGGCAUUCGGGUUGUAAACCGCUUUCGCCUGUGACGAAGCGUGAGUGACGGUAAUGGGUAAAGAAGCACCGGCUAACUACGUG
rnacentral:rRNA from 1 species